GUGGGGAAUCUUAGACAAUGGGGGAAACCCUGAUCUAGCCAUGCCGCGUGAGCGAUGAAGGCCUUAGGGUUGUAAAGCUCUUUCAGCUGGGAAGAUAAUGACGGUACCAGCAGAAGAAGCCCCGGCUAACUCCGUGCCAGCAGCCGCGGUAAUACGGAGGGGGCUAGCGUUGUUCGGAAUUACUGGGCGUAAAGCGCGCGUAGGCGGACUGAAAAGUUGGGGGUGAAAUCCCGGGGCUCAACCUCGGAACUGCCUUCAAAACUAUCAGUCUGGAGUUCGAGAGAGGUGAGUGGAAUUCCGAGUGUAGAGGUGAAAUUCGUAGAUAUUCGGAGGAACACCAGUGGCGAAGGCGGCUCACUGGCUCGAUACUGACGCUGAGGUGCGAAAGCGUGGGGAGCAAACAGGAUUAGAUACCCGAGUAGUCC
rnacentral:rRNA from 1 species